rnacentral:rRNA from 1 species
UACGGGGGGGGCAAGCGUUGUUCGGAAUUACUGGGCGGAAAGGGUGCGUAGGCGGCUUUCUAAGUUGGAUGUGAAAACUAUGGGCUCAACCCAUAGCCUGCAUCCAAAACUGGAGAGCUUGGGUUCUGGAGGGGAAAGCGGAAUUCCUGGUGUAGCGGUGAAAUGCGUAGAUAUCAGGAGGAACACCGGUGGCGAAGGCGGCUUUCUGGACAGACACCGACGCUGAGGCACGAAAGCUAGGGGAGCAAACAGG